UGGUUCCGGCAUCGAUGAAGAACGCAGCGAAAUGCGAUACGUAGUGUGAAUUGCAGAAUUCAGUGAAUCAUCGAGUCUUUGAACGCACAUUGCGCCCUUUGGUAUUCCGAGGGGCACGCCUGUUCGAGCGUCAUUUCAACCCUCAAGCCUGGCUUGGUCUUGGGCCGCGCCUCUCCGCGGCGGGCCCCAAACUCGUUGGCGGCGUUGGCUCCCCGAGCGUGACAGAAUCACGAUGACGGGAGAGAGCGCCCGCGCGAUCAUAUUUUCUCACGGUUGACCUCGGAUCAGGCGGGGAUACCCGCUGA
rnacentral:misc_RNA from 1 species